rnacentral:tRNA from 1 species
CCCCCGAUAGCUCAGUUGGAAGAGCGCGAGACUGUAAUGGAUAAAAUCGAGUCGAUCUUGAGGUCGCUGGUUCGAUCCCGGUUCGGGGGA